rnacentral:rRNA from 1 species
CACAAGGGGUGAAGCCUGNGGUUCAAUUGGANCNAACGCCAGGAAACUUACCAGGAGAGACAGCAGAUUGAGGGUCAGGCUGAAGACCUUACCUGACGAGCUGAGAGGAGGUGCAUGGCCGUCNCCAGNUNGUGCCGUGAGGCGUCCUGUUAAGUCAGGCAACGAGCGAGACCCCUAUCAGUAGUUGCUAACUGCUCAGAGAUGAGUAGAGGCUAGUUACAGAGACUGCCGUUGAUAAAACGGAGGAAGGAAGGGGCCACGGCAGGUCAGUAUGCCCCGAAACUCCUGGGCCACACGCGGGCUGCAAUGGUAGGGACAAUAGGUUCCGACCUCGAAAGAGGAAGGCAAUCCCCAAACCCUACCCCAGUUGUGAUCGAGGAUUGAAACCCGUCCUCGUGAAUAUGGAAUCCCUAGUAACCGCGUGUCAUCNCCGCGCGGUGAAUACGUCCCUGCUCC